CUGGUUCUGGGCCGGGUACCUUGGCACAGAACGAGAUUCAAGGGUACUGGCGUUCGGCAUAGCGUGCGACUGCGCGAUGACGAAGGCGAGACUCAAAUCAGACCGCUAAACAUGUAGAUCUGCCCGAAGAAGGCUUGCGGACGCGGGUUCAAUUCCCGCCAGCUCCACCA
rnacentral:tmRNA from 1 species